UACGGGGGGGGCAAGCGUUGUUCGGACUUCCUGGGCGUAAAGGGCUCGUAGGUGGCCACCUAAGUCAGACGUGAAAUCCCUCGGCUUAACCGGGGAACUGCGUCUGAUACUGGAUGGCUAGAGAUUGGGAGAGGGAUGCGGAAUUCCAGGUGUAGCGGUGAAAUGCGUAGAUAUCUGGAGGAACACCGGUGGCGAAGGCGGCAUCCUGGACCAACACUGACGCUGAGGAGCGAAAGCCAGGGGAGCAAACGGG
rnacentral:rRNA from 1 species